rnacentral:rRNA from 1 species
UACGGAGGAUCCAAGCGUUAUCCGGAUUUAUUGGGUUUAAAGGGUGCGUAGGCGGCUAUUUAAGUCAGGGGUGAAAGACGGUGGCUCAACCAUCGCAGUGCCUUUGAUACUGAAUAGCUUGAAUACACUAGAGGUAGGCGGAAUGUGACAAGUAGCGGUGAAAUGCAUAGAUAUGUCACAGAACACCAAUUGCGAAGGCAGCUUACUAUGGUGUCAUUGACGCUGAGGCACGAAAGCGUGGGGGUCAAACAGG